rnacentral:rRNA from 1 species
UACGAAGGGGGCUAGCGUUGUUCGGAUUUACUGGGCGUAAAGCGCACGUAGGCGGAUCGUUAAGUCGGGGGUGAAAUCCUGGAGCUCAACUCCAGAACUGCCUUCGAUACUGGCGAUCUUGAGUCCGGAAGAGGUGAGUGGAACUCCUAGUGUAGAGGUGGAAUUCGUAGAUAUUAGGAAGAACACCAGUGGCGAAGGCGGCUCACUGGUCCGGUAGUCGUGACGCUGAGGUGCGAAAGCGUGGGGAGCAAACAGGG